rnacentral:rRNA from 1 species
CGAACGCUGGCGGCGUGCUUACCACAUGCACGUCGACCGGAAAGGCCCUACUUGCAGGGUACUCGAGUGGCGAACGGGUGAGUAACACGUGGGUGAUCUGCCCUGCACUUCGGGAUAAGCCUGGGAAACUGGGUCUAAUACCGGAUAGGAGCCAUUUUUAGUGUGAUGGUUGGAAAGUUUUUUCGGUGUAGGAUGAGCUCGCGGCCUAUCAGCUUGUUGGUGGGGUAAUGGCCUACCAAGGCGGCGACGGGUAGCCGGCCUGAGAGGGUGGACGGCCACAUUGGGACUGAGAUACGGCCCAGACUCCGACGGGAGGCAGCAGUGGGGAAUAUUGCACAAUGGGCGCAAGCCUGAUGCAGCGACGCCGCGUGGGGGAUGACGGCCUUCGGGUUGUAAACUCCUUUCGCUAGGGACGAAGCUUUUUGUGACGGUACCUAGAUAAGAAGCACCGGCUAACUACGUG